GUGGGGAAUAUUGCGCAAUGGGCGAAAGCCUGACGCAGCGACGCCGCGUGCGGGAUGGAGGCCUUCGGGUUGUAAACCGCUUUUAUCGGGGAGCAAGCGAGAGUGAGUGUACCCGUUGAAUAAGCACCGGCUAACUACGUGCCAGCAGCCGCGGUAAUACGUAGGGUGCAAGCGUUAUCCGGAUUUAUUGGGCGUAAAGGGCUCGUAGGCGGUUCGUCGCGUCUGGUGUGAAAGUCCAUCGCUUAACGGUGGAUCUGCGCCGGGUACGGGCGGGCUGGAGUGCGGCAGGGGAGACUGGAAUUCCCGGUGUAACGGUGGAAUGUGUAGAUAUCGGGAAGAACACCAAUGGCGAAGGCAGGUCUCUGGGCCGUUACUGACGCUGAGGAGCGAAAGCGUGGGGAGCGAACAGGAUUAGAAACCCCUGUAGUCC
rnacentral:rRNA from 1 species